CCCAGGGUAGCUCAGUUGGUUUAGAGCGGCGGUCUGUAAAACCGUUGGUCGCUGGUUCGAGUCCAGCCCCUGGGA
rnacentral:tRNA from 1 species